AUUCCAGCAGUUUUACAGAACCAAUUCAGGAAGCAAAUUAUGUGCCAAUGACUCCAGGAACAUUUGAUUUUUCCUCAUUUGGAAUGCAAGUUCCUCCUCCUGCUCAUAUGGGCUUCAGGUCCAGCCCAAAAACCCCUCCCAGAAGGCCAGUUCCUGUUGCAGACUGUGAACCACCCCCUGUGGAUAGAAACCUCAAGCCAGACAGAAAAGGUCAAAGUCCUAAAAUUAUAAGACUCAAACCCCAUGGUUUAGAGCGAACUGAUUCACAAACCAUAGGUGACUUUGCUACAAGAAGAAAGGUCAAGCCAGCACCUUUAGAAAUAAAACCUUUGCCAGAAUGGGAAGAAUUACAAGCCCCAGUUAGAUCUCCCAUCACUAGGAGUUUUGCUCGAGACUCUUCCAGGUUUCCCAUGUCCCCCCGACCAGAUUCAGUGCAUAGCACAACUUCAAGCAGUGACUCACACGACAGUGAAGAGAAUUAUGUUCCCAUGAACCCAAACCUGUCCAGUGAAGACCCAUAACAGUCUUGAUGGAGGAAGCAGCCCUAUGAUCAAGCCCAAAGGAGACAAACAGGUGG
rnacentral:sRNA from 1 species